rfam:Caenorhabditis japonica strain DF5081 Contig18207.26, whole genome shotgun sequence.
GCAUUGGUGGCCGAGUGGUUAAGGCGUAGGUCUCCCGAUCCUAUGGUCUAAAUGACCGCGCGGGUUCGAAUCCCGUCCAAUGCA